UACAAGGUUUCCGUAGGUGAACCUGCGGAAGGAUCAUUG
rnacentral:rRNA from 19 species